CUUUCUUUUUUGCUUGGAUUUCCCACGCCGCUGCUUCUGCCUAUCUAUUUUUUCUCAGACGCCAUUGCUGUAGAGUUGCUGCACGGGGCGCCCUCACCCACGAAGCGCGGCGCCGCGGGAGUUGUUGCUGCUGCAAGGGAUGCCAUCGCCAUGGCCGAACGCGACGGGGCUGAGCACCGGCGCUAUUACGACAGGGGGCCAUGGUCUGCGAGCUCACAGGCCAGGGCGGCCAUGGCUACGAGCUCGAGUUUUGGUUUUUUGCUACUACCGGCACUGUCGUUUGUUACAUCCUUUUUCAUGAGAUUGUCGAGACCCUGCGCUUGUGUGUUUUGCUACAACCUUGUACUGUUUUUGCUACAACCUUCUACAUUUUUUGCUACUACUGGAGAAGCCUCUAGCUGGACCACAAGUUAUUUUUGCUACAACCGUUUUGUGUUUUGCUGCAACCAGUGUCAAUUUUUGCUACCACCGACUUCUUUGAUUUUUCUGGAACCAGCGCUCGAUUUUUUAUUUUUGCUACCACUAGCGUUUCGAUUUGCUGGAACAAGCUUCAAUUUUUGCUACCAUCAGGUUUUUGGUUUGUUGGAGUGUCGUCGAUUUUUUCUAAUUUUGCUACCAACGUUUUAUUAUUUGCUGGAACCGUCAAGAAUUUUUGCUAUGGCCGGUGGAAUUUUUUGCUGCGACUGGCAAAUUAAGGAUGAGGAACAACACGAGCUCUACAACGGGUGCUGCGGCCGGUGACGUGAGGUUCCGCGAGCCGCGGGGGGCCUCGCCGGAGAUGCGCCGCGGGGGCGUUGCUGGAGCUGGGCCUCGCCGGAGAUGCGCCGCGGGGCUGGAGCUGGGCCUCACCGGAGAUGUGCCGCGGGGGCCUUUGCUGGAGCUGCGCGGUGCUGCGAGCCGCGGGGGGAUCUCACCGGAGAUGCGCCGUGCUGCGAGCCGCAGGGGAUCUCGCCGGAGAUGCGCCACGGGCCCGAGGAAGAAGAAGCUGGGGCGAUUUUUUAUUUUUUUUGGCUCCAGAUCCAACCGCCGCGCGGCUCGCAUCGAGCGGCUAUGGCUGGACCGGCCGAAAGUUUCGGCCGGUGCGCCGGCGCCUAGUGGUGCCCAAAAAAAAUAGGGCAAAAUUGCCCCCUGGUCUCAUUACCACGACACCGAAAAGUGACCAUCGGGUUCUCCCAUGCAAGCACAGGUGUCAGAAAAACAUACUUUCUCCGCCCGGAAUUAGUCGUGCCUCAAACUAACGUGUCCGGAAUUAGUUGUGCCUCAAACGAACGUAUCUAACACGUGUCUGGACCGAGGGAGUAUAUAUAAGACGUUUUUUCAGUUCACCCCUGAGAGCGCAACAUCAAGAGACGAUCGUGUUUGGCCAGUUUAUCCCUGCUCAAAAGACGACUGUCGGCAAACGGCCAGAGGAAAACCUGUGACUAAUCUGGGAGGAAUUCCCAGUCUCCAGAUGAACUGAACUAAGAGUGUACAUGCAUAAUUCCCCCUACAGUUGACAAGGUACC
rnacentral:rRNA from 1 species